AAACCAGAUAUGACUUAGUGGCGGACGGGUGAGUAACACGUGAGCAACCUGCCUUUCAGAGGGGGAUAACUUCUGGAAACGGAUGCUAAAACCGGAUAGGUAGCAGACAAGCAUUUGACUGCUAUUAAAGUGGCUUUGGCCAUGAACAUGGAUGGACCUGCGGUGCAUUAGCUAGUUGGUGAGGUAACGGCCCACCAAGGCGACGAUGCAUAGCCGGCCUGAGAGGGCGGACGGCCACAUUGGGACUGAGACACGGCCCAAACUCC
rnacentral:rRNA from 1 species